UGGGUUGUGGCUCAGUGGUGGAGUGCUUGCCUCGCACGUGUGAGACCCUGGAUUUGAUCUUCAGCACCACAU
rnacentral:tRNA from 1 species